rnacentral:rRNA from 1 species
GGAUAACUUACCCUUAGGACUGGGAUAACUCUGGGAAACUGGGGAUAAUACUGGAUAUUAGGCUAUGCCUGGAAUGGUUUGCCUUUGAAAUGUUUUUUCGCCUAAGGAUAGGUCUGCGGCUGAUUAGGUCGUUGGUGGGGUAAUGGCCCACCAAGCCGAUGAUCGGUACGGGUUGUGAGAGCAAGGGCCCGGAGAUGGAACCUGAGACAAGGUUCCAGACCCUACGGGGUGCAGCAGGCGCGAAACCUCCGCAAUGUACGAAAGUGCGACGGGGGGAUCCCAAGUGUUAUGCUUUUUUGUAUGACUUUUCAUUAGUGUAAAAAGCUUUUAGAAUAAGAGCUGGGCAAGACCGGUGCCAGCCGCCGCGGUAACACCGGCAGCUCGAGUGGUAGCUGUUUUUAUUGGGCCUAAAGCGUUCGUAGCCGGUUUGAUAAGUCUUUGGUGAAAGCUUGUAGCUUAACUAUAAGAAUUGCUGGAGAUACUAUUAGACUUGAAGUCGGGAGAGGUUAGAGGUACUACCGGGGUAGGGGUGAAAUCCUAUGAUCCUGGGAGGACCACCUGUGGCGAAAGCGUCUAACUGGAACGAUCUUGACGGUGAGUAACGAAAGCCAGGGGCGC